rnacentral:rRNA from 1 species
AGCAGCCGCGGUAAUUCCAGCUCCAAUAGCGUAUAUUAAAGUUGCUGCAGUUAAAAAGCUCGUAGUUGAAUUUCGGGACUAAUAUGUCGGUCGUGCCUCGGUACGUACUGGUUUAUUGGUUUCUCCUUUCUGAAGAACCAUGAUGUCAUUUAUUUGGUGUCGUGGGGAAUCAGGACUGUUACUUUAGAAAAAAUUAGAGUGUUUAAAGCAGGCUCACGCUUGAAUACAUUAGCAUGGAAUAAUGAAAUAGGACGUUUGAUUCUAUUUUGUUGGUUUCUAGGAUCGACGUAAUGAUUAAUAGGGAUAGUUGGGGGCAUUAGUAUUCAAUUGUCAGAGGUGAAAUUCUUGGAUUUAUUGAAGACUAACUACUGCGAAAGCAUUUGCCAAGGAUGUUUUCAUUAAUCAAGAACGAAAGUUAGGGGAUCGAAGACGAUCAGAUACCGUCGUAGUCUUAACCAUAAACUAUGCCGACUAGGGAUCGGAUGAUGUUAAUUUUUAAUGACUCAUUCGGCGCCUUAAC